rnacentral:lncRNA from 10 species
GGAAACCAAAUCAGUUAAGGAAUGGAGGAAGAUAUUGAGAGUGCUGAGUCUGGGGCCUAGGUAUUUCUUGGGACCAGGAACUGGGUAAGGGGUAACCACCACAGGCCCACAGGCUAAAAUUGAGCUGGAGUAAGUGGCAACAGAGAGUAUUUAUUGUCCCCUAAGAGCCCUGGUAAGCUUCUGAGAAAUUAAGUGCUCAUUUCCUAGCAGAUAAAAAUCCACUGACUCACACCUGCCUCUCUGCUUGUCCAGAGAGGUACAGAGAAGUAAUGACUUGGACUUGAGGAAGGCCCUUGUAGGACAUGUGAAUGCCAGUGCUCAUGGAGAAAGGUGGAGGAAGAGAGCCAGAGUGCAGUUCACCUCUGGGAGAGCAGACCAGAGUGGCUUCCGUGGGCACAUGCUGGAUUGAAGUGAGAAGACGUGACUACUAAAGUUGAGGCCCCAAGUCUCAGCUUCUUCCCCCUCCAAAGCAUGAGUGGAGGAUUCACUUAAGGCCACUUUGGGGAUCAAACAUAGGCACCUGCCUGUCCAAGGGGGUCUAAGUCACAGUACAGAAGUGGUUUGCAAAGGCUGGUGGGAUGGUGUGGCAGGCCUGUGGAGUUGAAUAAAAAUCCUGAUGUCCUUCCUGGCAUGAAGAAUGG